UACGUAGGGUGCGAGCGUUGUCCGGAAUUAUUGGGCGUAAAGAGUGUGUAGGCGGUGCUCUAAGUCUGUUGUGAAAUCUCCCGGCUUAACUGGGAGGGUGCGGCGGAGACUGGAGUGCUAGAGUGUGGGAGAGGUAAGCGGAAUUCCUGGUGUAGCGGUGAAAUGCGUAGAUAUCAGGAGGAACACCUGUGGUGUAGACAGCUUACUGGACCACGACUGACGCUGAGACACGAAAGCGUGGGUAGCAAACAGG
rnacentral:rRNA from 1 species